rnacentral:tmRNA from 1 species
GCUAUAUGGUGUUAUAAGCAGGCGAGAUAAAACACCUAAGGAAGACGGUACAGGUAAGCAACUGACCUUCCCCUUCCCUACAAUUUAACAGAAGCUAAGCAUGUAGAAAGCUUACCUUAUACCAUGUUUGGACGAGGGUUCGAAUCCCUCCGGCUCCACCA